CCGCUUCUCCAGACGGGAGCGCGGUUGGGCCUCCAUACAAAGGCUGCGCUUCUGCCAUGGCGGGCACAGGACAAUGCGCUGCAGAGCACACUGAGUGGGAGAGCAAAUUCUGGAACUGUCGCAGGCGGAAACCACACAAGGGGGAAACAGACAAAACAGCAAACCCGGAAGAACCAUUCCCGCUUCCGAAGCUCCAUGAUCACGGCAGACGCUUCUUAAAACCUCCCGUUUAAUAUCAGAUGCCACACAUACGAGAUCGAUGUGCACGUCGGGAGAAACCACAGCACAGCCAGGAGUACUGGCGCACAGUGAAUACGCUUCCGUCCUUUCAAAAGCCUUUCCCGAACGGUAUCUUGUAAAAAAUGCCAAAAAUAAAAUGAAAAAAACUGCCA
ensembl:lncRNA novel transcript, antisense to MUM1